rnacentral:rRNA from 1 species
UACGUAGGGCGCAAGCGUUGUCCGGAAUUAUUGGGCGUAAAGAGCUCGUAGGCGGUUUGUCGCGUCUGCCGUGAAAGUCCGGGGCUCAACUCCGGAUCUGCGGUGGGUACGGGCAGACUAGAGUGAUGUAGGGGAGACUGGAAUUCCUGGUGUAGCGGUGGAAUGCGCAGAUAUCAGGAGGAACACCGAUGGCGAAGGCAGAUCUCUGGGCCGUAACUGACGCUGAGGAGCGAAAGCGUGGGGAGCGAACAGG